UUUAAGUGUAAAUUUAUAAACUAAAUUAGUAAUAGUUAUUUUCUUUAAAGUUAAAGAAUUUGGCGGUAUUUUAGUCUAUUCAGAGGAACCUGUUCUGUAAUUGAUAGUCCACGAUUAAUAUUACUUAAUUUUAAAAGCUUGUAUAUCGUUGUUUAUAGAAAAUUUUAUCAGAAUAAUAAUUUUUAAUAAAUUUAAUAAAAUUAUAAAUCAAAUCAAGGUGCAGUUUAUAGUUAAGAAGAAAUGGGUUACAAUAAAAUUAUUUAUAAUGAAUUUUUAAUUAAAAUAUUGAGAUGAAGGUGGAUUUGAUAGUAAUAUUAUUAAUUUAAAUAAUAUGAUUAUAGCUCUAAAAUAUGU
rnacentral:rRNA from 1 species